GCUCUGUUUACAAGAAACCCUUGGUUCAGCUAUGCUAAUCACCCCUUCCACUGAGAGGUACUGCCAAGGGUCCCUGAUUCAAUCUUGCCAGUGUGACAAGUGCUACUACCGUCAGGAGCUCUUCCAGUAUAGCCACCAGGCACAGUGGUCAACCGGUUGCCAUUUCCCUAGUUAUUUCUAGGUUUCAGAAGUGGAAGUCCCAGGAUCCUACCAUCCCUCAGCUCCAAGAGAGCUGGCCUUUGGCUAAACCUUUGACUAAGUUUCCCUGGGUAUAUUCUGAGAAAUAUUAAUGAACGAGUAUGGGAUUUAAGAAGAUGGCUGUCACCUUGCCUAUGGAGUUCUAACCACUUAAGUACUUGAAGUAUUGGUGAACACCAGAAAAAGAUGUCAAAUCCCCUGGAACUAGAGUCACAGAUGUUUUUGAGCUGCCUGGGUAUCCUCCUAAAGGAAUCAGAGAACUGCUCUUCAUGUGAAAGUGCCCACUCUGUUUUAUGAGGCAACAGAGAAAUAUCACAGAAAUUUUGCAAAGAUAUUGUUUGGUGGACGAGGAUACACAAGGAAGAAACAAGUCUGUUUUCUGGAAAGCGCCAUGGGACAGAGAAACUGGACACCAAGAACCAAGACACCAACUUAUAAAGACUCCUUCUUCUCCGAGGCCGAGCCUGGCAGGCAGCACAAUGGCAGCAAAGGUCAACUAAGAAACAGCUGACAUCAUUUCUCGGAGUUCUCCAGGGGAAUUCAUGAGCCUUCCCCGCAGAAUCAGAGAGGGAGCCUCAUGUGCUUUGAGCAGUAGCACAUUCAGUGAUGCGACUUUCUUGGUACUGUUCAAUGUAAAGCUGCCCUUAGUAAAAUCUCCAGGUUCCAAGGAGCAAACUCAGGACAUCAAGUUUGGCAGCAAGCACUUUUACCCACUAAAGCCAUCUCACCAGUCCAAGCAAUUUGAUAAAAAAUGAUUAGUAACCAAGAUUAAAGCACACUCCAAAGAAAUAUUCUAAAAAUCUAAAAUCAAUUGAGAGAACCCAAAAUGAAGAGAAUUUAAAAAUGUAACCAGAGAAGGCUUCAGAACACCUGGGACUAGCAGAAAAGACUGUGACCCCAGGGGAUGAGAGAACAAUAAACAGACUGAGAGUCUGUAAGUUACCAAGUACUGGAUUUCAACUCAACCUCAUUGCUGGCACUGUGAUGGAAGAGUGUAAGGAGUCCUGAAUGGAUUUAAAUAAAACUGCCCCUAAGUGAUGUGGAGCUGUCACCAGAGAGCCACCUGCUGGCUAUACCCUAAAGGGAGGAUUCCUGAAAGUAACCAAAUGGUCAUGACCAGACCUUACUGGCAUGUAGCUUCAUAUCUCUGGCAUAUGACUUUACAAGGCUUCUGCCCACUUGGAAUAUGGGCUUAUAUUUAUGAGCCUCAAUCUCCUUGCUUGUGAAAUGAGGAACUCAACUCCAAGAAAUAAUGAAUGGAAAAUGCCCAACAUCUCAACAAUCACAGAAUUA